AACGAACGCUGGCGGCAUGCCUAACACAUGCAAGUCGAACGCUCUUGGGGCUUCGGUUCCAAGGGAGUGGCGCACGGGUGAGUAGCGCGUGGGAACCUGUCCUGUUGUGGGGGAUAACCGAGGGAAACUUCGGCUAAUACCGCAUGCGCCCGUGGGGUGACACCCGCGGGGAAAGAUUUAUCGCAGCAGGAGGGGCCCGCGUCGGAUUAGCUAGUUGGCGGGGUAACGGCCCACCAAGGCAGUGAUCCGUAGCUGGUCUGAGAGGAUGAU
rnacentral:rRNA from 1 species